AACCUUGGUCUCUUGCAUUGCAAGCAGUUUCUUUACCAACUGAGCCUUCAGGAGCACACGGCAAGAGGGUCUCCAUCACAGCACUUAAGAAGGGGAGCUACAAAAGACAAUCUGAUGUAGAUGAUUGCUGUAUCACGAGGUGGGAAUCACGGAGAGAA